AGGGAAAUAGUUCAGUUGGUAGAACAGUGGUUUUCAAAACCAAAAGCCAUGGGUUCAAGUCCCUUUUUCCCUG
rnacentral:tRNA from 1 species